AUUGAACGCUGGCGGCAUGCUUUACACAUGCAAGUCGAACGGUAGCAGGCCGCAAGGUGCUGACGAGUGGCGAACGGGUGCGUAAUGCAUCGGAACGUGCCCAGUCGUGGGGGAUAACUACUCGAAAGAGUAGCUAAUACCGCAUACGAUCUAUGGAUGAAAGCGGGGGACCGUAAGGCCUCGCGCGAUUGGAGCGGCCGAUGUCAGAUUAGGUAGUUGGUGGGGUAAAGGCUCACCAAGCCAACGAUCUGUAGCUGGUCUGAGAGGACGACCAGCCACACUGGGACUGAGACACGGCCCAGACUCCUACGGGAGGCAGCAGUGGGGAAUUUUGGACAAUGGGCGCAAGCCUGAUCCAGCAAUGCCGCGUGCAGGAAGAAGGCCUUCGGGUUGUAAACUGCUUUUGUACGGAACGAAACGGCUCUGGUUAAUACCCGGGGCUAAUGACGGUACCGGAAGAAUAAGCACCGGCUAACUACGUG
rnacentral:rRNA from 1 species